GCUCCAGUGGCGCAAUCGGUCAGCGCACGGUACUUAUAAUGCCGAGGUUGUGAGUUCGAGCCUCACCUGGAGCA